CCAUUAGAUGUCCUGGGCCGCACGCGCGUUACACUGAUGCAUUCAACGAGCUUAUAACCUUGGCCGAGAGGCCUGGGCAAUCUUGUUAACGUGCAUCGUGAUAGGGAUAGAUUAUUGAAAUUAUUAAUCUUGAACGAGGAAUUCCUAGUAAACGCAGAUCAUCAAUCUGCAUUGAUUACGUCCCUGCCCUUUGUACACACCGCCCGUCGCACCUACCGAUUGGAUGGUCCGGUGAAGCCUCGGGAUUGUGGUUCUUGCCGCUUUAUUGUGGCGUGACCGCGAGAACUUGUCUAAACCUUAUCAUCUAGAGGAAGGUGAAGUCGUAACA
rnacentral:rRNA from 1 species